GGGAGUAUAGUGUAAUGGUUGUAGUACUGCUCACUACUAGCCACUGCAAUGGUAUAGGUUCAAAUCCUACCACUCCCG